UGCCAUUCUUGACAGGAGGCUGGCCAGACCUUUUCAUUUGUCAUUUUCAUACUACAAAACGUAACGAAAAACUACACUGAAAACCAAAGUUACCUAUUUUUUGGGUACAAAAUGCCUAUUGUAAAGUUCGUAUUCCGACUACUCAAAAUUAGGUAGAAAAACGAAAAGAGCGGCUACCCAAAUUUUGAGUAUCCUACACAUUACUUUUUUUGUGUUAUUGGUGGGUAGUAAUAAAUCGGUACCAGUAACCCAAAUAAUAAGUUGUCCGUAUUUUAUAUUUCAACUCAAAAAUAGGUAAUAUAAUUUUAUCUUGUAAGGACGCCAUUGUAGAAAAGCAAAAGGCAAGCGAAAGUCCAAAUCGUUGGCAUUGCAGAGAAAAUCUACGAUUUGGCUUCAUUAAAAAUAAAUGCUGCUGCGAUUCGACUGGAAACGAGGAAAUAUCGCCUAAACAAAUAUCGAAGAAACCAAAAUAGAAUAUGGAAGAUCUAUACAAAUUAAUUGACGAAGGGACACAAAAACAACUUACAGGAAAUUCACGUGAACUGAGUUUCAACGGCCAAUGUCGUAUCACUUAAAGGUUAUAUGUGAAUCAAAUAGCUUCUACGAGAUUGUCAAAUGUCAGGAAUCAUGUAAUGUAUGUUGAAAGAUGGUAACUAUUCAUUCACGUGAAUAUUCACAUGAAAUCAAAGUGAUUUAUUUUUUGAGUGUA